rnacentral:rRNA from 1 species
AUUGAACGCUGGCGGCAGGCCUAACACAUGCAAGUCGAACGAGUGGCGGACGGGUGAGUAAUGUCUGGGAAACUGCCUGAUGGAGGGGGAUAACUACUGGAAACGGUAGCUAAUACCGCAUACCAUCAGAUGUGCCCAGAUGGGAUUAGCUAGUUGGUGGGGUAACGGCUCACCAAGGCGACGAUCCCUAGCUGGUUUGAGAGGAUGACCCGCCACCAUGGGACCUGGACCAUGUCCAGACCCCUUAGGGAGGCAGCAGUGGGGAAUAUUGCACAAUGGGCGCAAGCCUGAUGCAGCCAUGCCGCGUGUAUGAAGAAGGCCUUCGGGUUGUAAAGUACUUUCAGCGGGGAGGCGUUACCCGCAGAAGAAGCACCGGCUAACUCCGUGCCAGCAGCCGCGGUAAUAC